rnacentral:rRNA from 1 species
CUGGCUCAGGACGAACGCUGGCGGCGUGCUUCAUACAUGCAAGUCGAACGAGAAGCAGUCUUCGGACUGUGGAAAGUGGCGGACGGGUGAGUAAAAUGUAGAGAAUCUGCCCUAGAGUGGGGGAUAGCAGUUGGAAACGACUAUUAAUACCCCAUAUGAGCGUACUUGAGAUAGUAUUCUUGAAAACUCCGGUGCUCUAGGAUGAGUCUGCAUCUGAUUAGCUAGUAGGCGGUGUAAUGGACCACCCAGGCGACGAUCAGUAGCUGGUUUGAGAGGAUGAUCAGCCACAAUGGGACUGAGACACGGCCCAUACUCCUACGGGAGGCAGCAGUAGGGAAUUUUGCGCAAUGGGGGAAACCCUUGACGCAGCAACGCCGCGUGAAUGAAGAAGCCCUUCGGGGUGUAAAGUUCUGUCAGUGGGGACGAAACUUGACGGUACCCACAGAGGAAGCAUCGGCUAACUCCGUGCCAGCCGCCGC